GAGUUUGAUCAUGGCUCAGAACAAACGCUGGCGGCAUGCUUAACACAUGCAAGUAGCACGAGAAAGUAUCCUUCGGGGUGCGAGUAAAGUGGCGAACGGGUGAGUAACACGUAAGAACCUGCCCUUAGGACUGGGAUAACGCUUCGAAAGAGGUGCUAAUACCGGAUAAUAUCUACGGAUCAAAGGAGGCUUCGGCUUCCGCCAAAGGAGGGGCUUGCGGCUCAUUAGCUUGUUGGUGAGGUAAUGGCUCACCAAGGCGACGAUGGGUAACCGGCCUGAGAGGGUGUACGGUCACACUGGAACUGAGACACGGUCCAGACUCCUACGGGAGGCAGCAGUGGGGAAUAUUGGUCAAUGGGCGAAAGCCUGAACCAGCAAUGCCGUGUGGGUGAUGAAGCUUUUCGGAGUGUAAAACCCUUUUAUAUGGGAGGAACCCGGUAGGAAUAAUACGCCUGCCGGAUGACGGUACCACAUGAAUAAGCCCCGGCUAACUCCGUGCCAGCAGCCGCGGUAAUACGGAGGGGGCAAGCGUUGUUCGGAAUCACUGGGCGUAAAGGGCGUGUAGGCGGCUUUGUAGGUCAGAUGUGAAAUCCCCAGGCUCAACCUGGGAACUGCGUUUGAAACCACAAAGCUUGAGGAUGGGAGAGGAAAGCGGAAUUCCUGGUGUAGCGGUGAAAUGCGUAGAUAUCAGGAGGAACACCGGUGGCGAAGGCGGCUUUCUGGACCAUACCUGACGCUAAGGCGCGAAAGCGUGGGGAGCGAACGGGAUUAGAUACCCCGGUAGUCCACGCUGUAAACGCUACCACUAGGUGUAGCGGGUAUCGACCCCUGCUGUGCCGCAGCUAACGCAUUAAGUGCUCCGCCUGGGAGUCUGCAU
rnacentral:rRNA from 1 species